rnacentral:rRNA from 1 species
UACGGAGGGAGCAAGCGUUACUCGGAAUUAUUGGGCGUAAAGGGCGCGUAGGCGAUUUGGCAAGUCUUGUGUGAAAGCCCACAGCCUAACUGUGGAAGUGCACAAGAUACUGCUGAAUUUGAGUUCAGGAGAGGAAGGCAGAAUUCCCGGUGUAGCGGUGAAAAUGCGUAGAUAUCGGGAGGAAUACCAGUGGCGAAGGCGGCCUUCUGGACUGACACUGACGCUGAGGCGCGAAAGCUAGGGGAGCAAACGGG